rnacentral:rRNA from 1 species
ACUCUCAGCAACGGAUAUCUCAGCUUUCGCAUCGAUGAAGAACGUAGCAAAAUGCAAUACUUGGUGUGAAUUGCGAAAUCCCGUGAACUAUCGAGUCUUUGAACGCAAGUUGCGCACAAAGCCAUUAGGCCGGGGGCAUGUCUACUUGGGCGUCACGUAUUGGAUUGCUCCCUCACAUCACACCUCAAUCACGGGGCGCGCUGUUGUCGCGGGGUGGAUACUAUCCUCCCGGGCGCCUCGAACUCGUGGCUGGCCUAAAUGCGAGUCCACAUCGACGGACGUAACGACAAGUAGUCUUUGCAACUCAACUCUCUUUGCCGUCGCGGCUACGGCCCAUCGCGCGUUCGGACUCCAGGACCCCUUCGCGCUCAGGCGCUUCGACCGCGACCCCAGGUCAGGUGGCAUUACCCCCUGAGUUUAACCAUAUCAAUAAGCAGAGGAAGAAAAACCUACAAGGAUUCCCUUAGUAAUGGUGAGUGAACCGGGAACAGCCCAGCCUUAGAAUCGGGAGGCUCCAUCGUCCGAAUUGUAGUCUGGAGAAUCUUCCUAAGCGGCGGACCUGGCCCAAGUCCCCUGGAAGGGGGCGCCAUAGAGGAUGAGAGACCCGUUGUGCUCGGACCCUAUCGCACCACGAGGCGCUGUCUACGAGUUGGGUUGUUUUGGAAUGCGUCCUAAAUAGGGCGGUGAAUUCCGUCAGAGGCUAAAUACGGGCGAGAGACCAAUAGCGAACAAGUACUGCGAGGGAAAGAUGAAAAGUACAUUGAAAAGAGAGUCAAAGUGUGCUUGAGAUUGUCUGGAGGGAAGCGGAUGCGGGCCGGCGAUGCACCCCAAUCGAAUGUGGAACGGCGACGAUCCGGUUCGUCGAUCGACUCGGGGCGUGGAACAGCAUGGAUUGGUGGUGGCCAAAGCUCAGGCUCUCGAUACGCUCGUGGAACGCCGUCUUCUCGAUUGUGGCAGGCAGCGCGCGUCUUCGGCGUGCUUAGGCAUCUGUGUACUCCCGACGCUAGCCUAUGGGCUCCCCAUUUGACCCGUAUUGAAACACGAACCAAGGAGUCUGACAUGUGUGUGAGACAACAGACGAGUAAAACCGUAAGGCGUAAGGAAACUGAGUGGUGGGAUCCCCCUGAGGGGUUCACCGCCGAUCGACCUUGAUCUUCUGAGAAGGGUUCGAGUGUGAGCAUACCUGUCGGGACCCAAAAGAUGGUGAGCUAUGCCUGAGCGGGGAAAAGUCAGAGGAAACUCUGGUGGAGGCCCGCAGCGAUACUAACAUGCAAAUCAUUCGUCUGACUUGGGUAUAGGGGCAAAAGACUAAUCGAACCUUCUAGUAGCUGGUUCCCUCCGAAGUUUCCCUCAGGAUAGCUGAAACUCGUGUGCGAGUUCUAUCGGGUAAAGACAAUGAUUAGAGUUCUCAGGGGCGCAAUGCCCUCGACCUAUUCUUAAAGUUUAAAUAGGUAGGACGACGCGGCUGCUUGGUUGAGCCGCUCCAUGGAAUCAAGAGCUCCAAGUAGGCCAUUUUUGGUAAGAAGAAAAGGCGAUGCGGGAUGAACUGAAAACUGGGAUACGGUGCCAAACUGUGCGCUAACCUAGAUCCCACAAAGGGUGUUGGUCGAUUAAGACAGCAGGAUGGUGGUCAUGGAAGUUAAAAUCCACUAAGGACUGUGUAACAACUAUCCUGUCGAAUCAACUAGCCCUGAAAAUGGAUGGCUCUUAAGCGCACGUCCUACACCCGGCCGUCGGGGCAAGUACCAGGCCCCAAUGAGUAGAAGGGUUUAGCGGUCGCUGCAAAACCUUGGGCAUGAGCCCGGAAGCGAGUGGCCAUCGGUUCAGUUCUUGGUGGUAGUAGCAAAUAUUCAAAUGAGAACUUUGAAGGCCGAAGAGGGGAAAGGUUCCAUGUGAAUGGCACUUGCACAUGGGUUAGUCGAACCUAAGGGUUGGGGAAACCCCGAAAGACAGCGCAUUUCGCGCAUGCUCCAAAAGAGAAUUGGGUUAAAAUUCCUAAACCGGGACGCGGCGGUUGACGGAAACGUUAGGAAUUCCAGAGACGUCGGCGGGAGCCUCGGGAAGAGUUAUCUUUCCUGUUUAACAGCCUUCCCACCCUGGAAUCGACUCAGCCAGAGGUAGGGUCCAGCGGAUGGAAGAGAACCACAUGUCGUGUGGUGUUCGGUGCACUCUCGAUGGCCCUUGAAAAUCUGGAGGACCGAAUUCUAGAGCUAAUACUUGCAACAAACCCCGACUUCUGGAAGGGAUGCAUUUAUUAGAUUAAAGAUCGACACAGGCUCUGCCCGUUGCUGCGAUGAUUCUUGAUAACUGGACGGAUCGCACGACCAUCAUGCCAGGGACGCAUCAUUCAAAUUUUUGCCCUAUAAAUUUUCGAUGGUUGGAUAGUGGACUACCAUGGUGGUGACGGGUGAUAGAGAAUUAGGGUUCGAUUCCAGAGAGGAAGCCUGAGUAACGACUACCACAUCCAAGUAAGGCAGCAGGUGCGUAAAUUACCCAAUCCUGACAUGGGGAGGUAGUGACAAUAAAUAACAAUACCGGGCUCAAUGAGUCUGGUAAUUGGAAUAAGUACAAUCUAAAUCCCUUAACAAGGAUCCAUUGGAGGGCAAGUCUGGUGCCAUAAGCCGUGGUAAUUCCAGCUCCAAUAGCGUAUAUUUAAUUUGUUGCAGUUAAAAAAGCUCGUAGUUGGACUUUGGGAUGGGUCGGCCGGUCCGCCUAUGGUGUGCACCGGUCAUCUCGUCCCUUCUGUCGGUGAUGCGCUCCUAGCCUUAACUGGCCGAGUCGUGCGUCCGGCGCUGUUACUUUGAAGAAAUUAGAGUGCUUAAAGCAAGCCUACGCUCUGUAUACAUUAGCAUAGGAUAACAUUAUAGGUUUCGGUCCUAUUACGUUGGCCUUCGGGAUCGGAGUAAUGAUUAAUAGGGACAUUCGGGGGCAUUUGUAUUUCAUAGUCAGAGGUGAAAUUCUUGGAUUUAUGAAAGACGAACAACUGCGAAAGCAUUUGCCAAGGAUGUUUUCAUUAAUCAAGAACGAAAGUUGGGGGCUCGAAGACGAUUAGAUAUUGUCCUAGUCUCAACCAUAAACGAUGCCGACCAGGGAUCGGAUGAUGGGGAUAGAUCAUUGCAAUUGUUGGUCUUUAACGAGUAAUUCCUAGUAAGCGUGAGUCAUCAGCUCACGUUGACUAAGUCCCUGCCCUUUGUACACACCGUCCAUCGCUCCUACCGAUUGAAUGGUCCGAUGAAAUAUUCGAAUCACGGCGACGUGGCCGGUUCUCAGCCCGCGACAUCACAGGAAGUCCAUUGAACCUUAUCAUUUAGAGGAAGGAGAAGUUGU